CGCGGCCUAUCAGCUUGUUGGUGGGGUAGUGGCUUACCAAGGCUUUGACGGGUAGCCGGCCUGAGAGGGUGACCGGCCACAUUGGGACUGAGAUACGGCCCAGACUCCUACGGGAGGCAGCAGUGGGGAAUAUUGCACAAUGGGCGGAAGCCUGAUGCAGCAACGCCGCGUGCGGGAUGACGGCCUUCGGGUUGUAAACCGCUUUCGCCUGUGACGAAGCGUGAGUGACGGUAAUGGGUAAAGAAGCACCGGCUAACUACGUGCCAGCAGCCGCGGUGAUACGUAGGGUGCGAGCGUUGUCCGGAUUUAUUGGGCGUAAAGGGCUCGUAGGUGGUUGAUCGCGUCGGAAGUGUAAUCUUGGGGCUUAACCCUGAGCGUGCUUUCGAUACGGGUUGACUUGAGGAAGGUAGGGGAGAAUGGAAUUCCUGGUGGAGCGGUGGAAUGCGCAGAUAUCAGGAGGAACACCAGUGGCGAAGGCGGUUCUCUGGGCCUUUCCUGACGCUGAGGAGCGCAAGCGUGGGGAGCGAACAGGCUUAGAUACCCUGGUAGUCCACGCUGUAAACGGUGGGUACUAGGUGUGAGGGUCUUUCUACGACUUUCGUGCCGUAGCUAACGCUUUAAGUACCCCGCCUGGGGAGUACGG
rnacentral:rRNA from 1 species